UCUCCCGUUCUCCAGUUUGUGACGCAGCUGUAAAAAACCGAGUACUGAGCAGCCGGCCAUUCCACCUGCAUGAACUUGAAACUUGAACAGAGGAUGGAAUAAGAACAAGUGUUAACAAAUCAGCUCACAGUGCCAAGAAGGGAUGAAGGGAGCCCUUACUACUCUAUCCAGAGGGAAGUGGUUCAGGAAUUUUAAAUCCAAGAUGGCGAGGUAAUUGCCAUUGCAUUUGGGGACUGUAAAGAACACAGAGAAGACUCCUGAGGACCGCUGAUGCUCUGGCAUGGGUUCUAUGGCACCUAUCUCGAGGAGAAUUCCAGAACCGGAUGGUACAUCAUGUAAAAGAUCAAAUCAAAUGUGCAGAUUACCAGCAGGUCUGUUGAAGAUCUGGGUGGAGUCCACCGAUCUAAUCCUGCAAGGAGGUCAAGAAAUAACUCAGUCGGUGAAGUUGGCCACACGUCCCAGGAGCUUGUAGGCCUGAGCAUGUAUAUCCAGAGGACUUCGGGACAUUGCAGAAGCCAGCAGCUGCCGGCUCGUUGCACUUGUUGAGGUCAGGCAGGCAGCGCUUUCCUUCUCACUAGUGAAUUCAGUACUAGCGUCCUGGCAUUCUCUAGCCCUCUUCUCCAAGGAGACUGGGGAGAAGGCAGCAUAUGGGUUCCUUGCGUUCCUCCUUGAUGAAGACAAGCUCUGACUUAUGAUCACACCAGAGACUAACCUUAUUCAGCACACAGCAUAGCAAACUGCCUUAUACAGAGUCCUUGGUCCACCUAGCUCAGUAUUGCCUGCACUGACUGGCAGUGAUUCUCCAAGGUUUCAGACGGGGUUCCUGGAGACACCAGGGACUUGACCUGGGACCUUUUGCAUGCAAAGCGGGUGCUCUGCCAGUGAGCUACAGCCCUUCCCCUUCAACCUUUGUUAUGCCUGAGAUUAAGGAGAGUAUCUUCCAGACAGGCAAAUCACCCAAACUUUUCCUUGUAGAAAUCACUGACAAAACUCAUAAAGCUAGAAAUAAUAGCACCAGCACUUCCCUCCAUUCCCCUGCAAUGAAAUAUUCUGAACUUAAGCUAAAGCAGGGGCUUGUUGGAACCAGAUCCACAAAACUUUUCUGGAAAUAUGCUGGAAUUUUAAGUGGCUCAGAUCAGCCUGCCCAGGUACUAAUGAGUGAAUGCAGGGAAAUGAUUAAGACAGUUUGUUGCAACACAUACACAAGCAAUCUGCUAGUUCCCCUUCCAUUUCCCUAAUUCACAAAACUAAAUGCAAAAUGAUUAAGUAAAAAAAGAUAUUUAUAAUAGAGAGACUCGCUGUUGCUUGCUUGCUCGCUCUGUCAAGCAAGUGUACACAAAAAGCCCCACCCCUAAACUAAAGAAAAAACUUCCUCAAAGUAGGAAACACUCCCAGUUGCUUCUCUGGUUACCAAUGGGAAAGUCUGCCUUUCAAGGAAACAGCACUAAGCAUGCUCAGAACCAGGCUUAAGCCAUCACACAGGGCUGUUCUUGAGGCAGGCCUGACUCCUCCCUAAUCUGCUAUACUGGCUGCGCUGGAUAAGCCUCAUAACAACAGAUGAAGUUGGAAGUCUUCCUAGUAGGGCUGACAAGCAGGCAGUCCAGGGAGGGGCCUCUUCGCCAUAGCCACACUUUUGGCCAGAGAAUGGGAAACUGAUUGGCCAGAGAACAGGAGACUGACAGAAAUGCUUUCAUAAGCCUCUGUAAAUUCAGGAAAUAAUAAAAUAAAUAAAUGUGCAGG